rnacentral:rRNA from 1 species
CAUGCUAAUACCGCAUACGCCCUACGGGGGAAAGGAGGGGAUCUUCGGACCUUUCGCUAUCAGAUGAGCCUGCGUGAGAUUAGCUAGUUGGUGGGGUAAAGGCUCACCAAGGCGACGAUCUCUAGCUGGUCUGAGAGGAUGAUCAGCCACACUGGGACUGAGACACGGCCCAGACUCCUACGGGAGGCAGCAGUGGGGAAUAUUGGACAAUGGGCGCAAGCCUGAUCCAGCCAUGCCGCGUGUGUGAAGAAGGCCUUCGGGUUGUAAAGCACUUUCAGAGGUGAGGAAGGGUGCGUAGUUAAUACCUGCGUACUUUGACGUUAACCUCAGGAGAAGCACCGGCUAACUCUGUGCCAGCAGCCGCGGUAAUACAGAGGGUGCGAGCGUUA